rnacentral:lncRNA from 1 species
CCGAUCAAGAUGUCCCCAUUUCUCCUAGCCAAGGGAUAGACAUGUGACCCAAGUGAUACCAUCAGAUGCUUUUCUCUCCUUGAAAUUUGGAGCUCAUGUGAAAUGCAGAAAAAGAUGGAGAAAGCAGUUUGUGAUGAUUAAUCCCAGCUGGCCGUGACUGUCCAUUAGUUUCUCCUCUCCCCAGAGAUACUUUGGCUCAUGACUUCUUCAGGACUGAUCCUAAGACUGUGUAAAGGUGUCCUAUAUUCUCCAAUCCUCUUAUGCAUUCCUAUGUGCUUGAUAGGCCGAGCUGAUUUCUGUUUCUUGCACCUAAGGAAUCCUAACUGAUACAAGUUCUACCCAUGAUUGCACAUUUAGCUUCUACUUCAGUCUCCUAAAGCCCCCAGGGACAAAACAAGAAGUCAGAUCACACUGCUGGAGAGACCACAUGGAGAAUAUUGAGAAUAUGUGGAGAGAGACAGAAGAAUCUAGCUGAGCCCAGCCUUCCAAUUGUCCACAGCAAGACAUAAUGAAUGGAAGUAAAACCACCUUGGAUCAGGUGAAAACUAGACAGGUAGUGAAUUAGAACACAGACACUGGAGCCCAAUUGCCGGGGACCAGACUUCAGCUCUGCCAUUUACUGUGGGAUGACCUCGAGCAAAUUUUUUCACAUCUUAGUGUUGUUGGGGUUUUCUCAUCAGAAGUAUGAGGGUAUAAUAGUCUUCACCUUAUAGAAUUGUUGUGUGUAUAAGUUAAUAAAUAUCUAGAUAAAUACAUGUGUGUAUACAUGUACAUGUAUGUCUAUGUACACACAUACAUAUGUGUGUAUUAGAAUGAUAGCCCUAAGCAUUAAAUAUCAUUUAUAAGUUCUAAUUCUCACUGUGUUUCCUUGUCUCUAUUCCUUGUCUUUUUCGCUUCUACUUAUCACAUUUCUCUGGAAAGUAACUGACAUAAAAAUUUUAUUAUCUGAGCAAGUCAGUAGAAUUCAACACUCCCAUUAUUAAUUUUAAAAGAUGAGUAGAUUGUAG